UAUCCUGUCUGAAUAUGGGGGGACCAUCCUCCAAGGCUAAAUACUCCUGACUGACCGAUAGUGAACCAGUACCGUGAGGGAAAGGCGAAAAGAACCCCGGCGAGGGGAGUGAAAAAGAACCUGAAACCGUGUACGUACAAGCAGUGGGAGCACGCUUAGGCGUGUGACUGCGUACCUUUUGUAUAAUGGGUCAGCGACUUAUAUUCUGUAGCAAGGUUAACCGAAUAGGGGAGCCGAAGGGAAACCGAGUCUUAACUGGGCGUUAAGUUGCAGGGUAUAGACCCGAAACCCGGUGAUCUAGCCAUGGGCAGGUUGAAGGUUGGGUAACACUAACUGGAGGACCGAACCGACUAAUGUUGAAAAAUUAGCGGAUGACUUGUGGCUGGGGGUGAAAGGCCAAUCAAACCGGGAGAUAGCUGGUUCUCCCCGAAAGCUAUUUAGGUAGCGCCUCGUGAAUUCAUCUCCGGGGGUAGAGCACUGUUUCGGCAAGGGGGUCAUCCCGACUUACCAACCCGAUGCAAACUGCGAAUACCGGAGAAUGUUAUCACGGGAGACACACGGCGGGUGCUAACGUCCGUCGUGAAGAGGGAAACAACCCAGACCGCCAGCUAAGGUCCCAAAGUCAUGGUUAAGUGGGAAACGAUGUGGGAAGGCCCAGACAGCCAGGAUGUUGGCUUAGAAGCAGCCAUCAUUUAAAGAAAGCGUAAUAGCUCACUGGUCGAGUCGGCCUGCGCGGAAGAUGUAACGGGGCUAAACCAUGCACCGAAGCUGCGGCAGCGACGCUUAUGCGUUGUUGGGUAGGGGAGCGUUCUGUAAGCCUGUGAAGGUGUGCUGUGAGGUAUGCUGGAGGUAUCAGAAGUGCGAAUGCUGACAUAAGUAACGAUAAAGCGGGUGAAAAGCCCGCUCGCCGGAAGACCAAGGGUUCCUGUCCAACGUUAAUCGGGGCAGGGUGAGUCGACCCCUAAGGCGAGGCCGAAAGGCGUAGUCGAUGGGAAACAGGUUAAUAUUCCUGUACUUGGUGUUACUGCGAAGGGGGGACGGAGAAGGCUAUGUUGGCCGGGCGACGGUUGUCCCGGUUUAAGCGUGUAGGCUGGUUUUCCAGGCAAAUCCGGAAAA
rnacentral:rRNA from 1 species